UACGGAAGGCAGCAGUGGGGAAUAUUGCACAAUGGGCGCAAGCCUGAUGCAGCCAUGCCGCGUGUAUGAAGAAGGCCUUCGGGUUGUAAAGUACUUUCAGCGGGGAGGAAGGCGAUGCGGUUAAUAACCGCGUCGAUUGACGUUACCCGCAGAAGAAGCACCGGCUAACUCCGUGCCAGCAGCCGCGGUAAUACGGAGGGUGCAAGCGUUAAUCGGAAUUACUGGGCGUAAAGCGCACGCAGGCGGUCUGUUAAGUCAGAUGUGAAAUCCCCGGGCUUAACCUGGGAACUGCAUUUUGAACUGGCAGGCUUGAGUCUUGUAGAGGGGGUGAAUUCCAGGUGUAGCGGUGAAAUGCGUAGAGAUCUGGAGGAAUACCGGUGGCGAAGGCGGCCCCUGGACAAAGCUGACGCUCAGGUGCGAAAGCGUGGGGAGCAAACAGGGAUUAGAUACC
rnacentral:rRNA from 1 species